rnacentral:rRNA from 1 species
UACGAAGGGGGCUAGCGUUGUUCGGAAUUACUGGGCGUAAAGGGCGCGUAGGCGGUGUGUCAAGUCAGGCGUGAAAGCCCCGGGCUCAACCUGGGAACCGCGCUUGAGACUGGCACGCUCGAGUUCGGGAGAGGAUGGUGGAAUUCCCAGUGUAGAGGUGAAAUUCGUAGAUAUUGGGAAGAACACCGAUGGCGAAGGCAGCCAUCUGGACCGACACUGACGCUGAGGCACGAAAGCGUGGGGAGCAAACAGG